ensembl:misc_RNA Vault Vault RNA
GGGCUGGCUUUAGCCUAGCGGUUCCUUUGACUCUGGCUUCCCAACCGCCCAGGUCGCUGGCUUCCAUGGGUUCGGUGGUUCGAGACCCGCAGGCACUCUCCAGUCCUUUA